ensembl:lncRNA
UGAUAGGUAAUUUAUUUUAUUGCAUUUUAUAAUGCCAUUGUCCAUACAGAUUACAUGCAGCUAUUCCUACUGUACAAGGGUUUACCGUCUGCCAACGCAGACACACGGAGGUUCAGAGUACAAAUACACAGCAAUGCUCGUUCCUUUAUACAGCACAGGGGAUGCGGCGGGAGGGAAGGGGUCGGGUCACUUUAUACACAUCCUCCCCCCCACCUUCCUCCAGCCCCCGCGGACCUGUCCCGCCUCCCCAGCAUCACCUCCCACCCAGGCCAAAGAGGAUGGAGAAACAAAGGGAGGAAAAAUAAGGACGAGGUUGAGGCCGGGCUGGGUUUCGGGAUGCCUGUACCUCUGGAAACACUUAAAACUAGAAAUCCCACCCCAAGCAGGAGCCACUGGUGCUAGGUGUGCUCUGUGUCGGGACCACCUCAGGUUUUGCUGCCUCAAUGCAGAAGCCUGGGGGCUGCAAAGCUUAUUGGCAUUAAAUUUGAAGAGCAGGAGGAAUGUGAAUGGAAAGGACACAGAAGAGCCAAUGAAGGGGAGCAGCUCCUGAACCCCAUCCUGAGGGUGCUGAGGCGCUGGCACAGGGUGCCCAGAGGAGCUGUGGCUGCCCCAUCCCUGGCAGUGUUCAAGGCCAGGUUGGACACAGGGGCUUGGAGCAACCUGCUCUAGUGGAAGGUGUCCCUGCAGCACCCACCACCCAGUGCCUGCAGCAGCAGCCACGCUGCACCCAUCAGGCUGCAAAACCCAUUCCAGGGAGAGGACAAAGUGCCCCAGUGCAAGGCCAGGUCAUUCCCUCUGCAGGGACAUCGGGGUGUCCUAGAGCAGCACGAGGGGUGACACCGGGCGCUGGCACAGCCCUAAGAGGCACAAUAGCCCCCACCAGGAAGAUGCAAACCAAACCCCAAAAGCCUGGAUGGAAGCAGGGAAUGUCCUGCAAAGGGUGAACAUGGACACGGAGCCAGGGGCUUCACCUCAACACCCAGGAGGGGCAUCCCUUGGUAUGGGGAGAGCAGCAACGUUGCGCCGCUGCCUCCCUCUGAAGCUGUAAACGUGGUCGAAACAAUAACUUAAAAUCAAGACUGGUUAAAAAAAAAUAAUAUUAAAAAAAAAUAAAGAAAAAAGAUCCUUCGGGGGGGAUGGGGCUGCAAGAGACGGGGUUUGGCUCCUGCCCCCCAGCCCAGGCAGGGUCUUUGGUGUCCAAUGGAGUGAGGAUGAUGCCAAGGGAGGCCGGGGAAAAGGGGAGAACCCCAUCGGCCCCGAGAACAAACCUCCUCAGACCAGUGUUUUGGCAGCAGCGAGCCAGGCAGGAGCAGGAAACACGGGUCGAGUGGAGACACCUAGCGAAGGCCGGUACGGAAUGGCAUGGAACAGCCUGGAAUGGCUUGGAACAGCCCGAGCAUCCGCAUGUGGGGCUGGGGAGGGCAGGAUUUGCUGGGUUUUAACCCCCGUUACAGCCCCACCGGGCUGUGCCCCCCCAACCCGGCUCCUUGAGGGUCUCAGUAUCCCCCAGACAGUACCUAGGCGGCCCAGGGAAACCCAGCCUCACCCAUGGGUGCAGGGGGGAGUCAGGGACCC